UACGGGGGAUGCAAGUGUUAUCCGGAAUAAUUGGGCGUAAAGCGUCUGUAGGUGGUUUACCAAGUCUGUUGUUAAAACUUAAGGCUUAACCUUGAUACGGCACCAGAAACUAGUAGACUUGAGUACGGUAAGGGGCAGAGGGAAUUCUCGGUGUAGUGGUGAAAUGCGUAGAUAUCGAGAAGAACACCAAUAGCGAAAGCACUCUGCUGGGCCGAAACUGACAUUGAGAGACGAAAGCUAGGGGAGCGAAAGGG
rnacentral:rRNA from 1 species